GAAGACUGACAAAUUUUGCACCCGGACAUUGCCUUAAAUAAAGAUUGGCGAAUCUGUAAGAAGGUUUUAGAAAAUGGAAGCCAUUUGAAGGAUCCUACCGUUAAAAAGUGGAUUGCUGCAAGCCUAAACUGUUCCGAAGAAAAUAGAAACGCUAUUGGGCUUCUAGUACUACCGUACUUAUUUCCCUCAACAAAAAUAAAGGCCAGGCAAGGAAAACAAAGUUUUAAUUCGUCAAAACUUGAAAUUCAAGAAAAAUGUAUUCUAUAUUUCGAAAUUUGGGGAAAAGCUGAUGACUUCGAAAGACAGUUAUUAAAUAGCAAUGUCGGACUGCAACCACGAAUUAUAUUUGUGGGAGAAUUUAAUUGUUUGAAGGCGUAUGUAACGCUAACGGAUAAAAAAUAUGCCUUUGAGAAUCCUCUUGAUGCUGUCCAACAAUGUUCCUAUAUGUAUCAGGCAUUACAUAUAAAAUAUCCUGCUGAAAGCACGUCUGUGUGGACUUUCAUUCAAAUUUACAUCUUUAAUGUCAAAACCAAAUUUGACCAAGUAUCGUCCAGCAGAAAGCCGAUUUGGAGACGUUUAAAAAAGUAAAUAUUAUAUUAAGAUAUCGUAUGCAUGA